UUGGUGUCCCUUCCCGUCAAGAAUUUCAAUCGGAUUGAUUUGGACGCUCGUUAUAGGAGUAACGGACGGAGAAUCAGUCUCGAUUUGAUUCCUUGUUACAUGAACUCAAUCGGAUUGAUUUGGACGCUCGUUACAGGAGUAACGGACGCCGUCGGACGGAGAAUCAAAUCUCAAAUAAAUUCCUCCUCGCACAUAUCUCUACCUACCCGGGAUAGGCAGUGACACUCCAUCUCAUCUAUCCUUCCAUACUGUUCCAAGGUGAAUCCCGUGUUUCUGUUCUUGAGUUGCUUCCUGUCUCCCCAGUUCACCACCUACGUGCACUUGCUAAGAAAAAAAAAACUAGACUAAUUUCGUUCAACGGCAAGGCAGGUAGUUUUCAAUAUUGUCGUGUCAUAAAUACCUACAUAAAUAAACGAUUAUAUUUUAUCUACACCGGUGCCCCCUGUCAUUAUAAUAGUGUAAUGUAAAGGAGCUCCAGCACCUUAUCUUUAAGAGAACUUUUAAGAUACAAUACAUUAGUGAUCCAACGUGCUCAGAUAUACAUAUAAAUAUAUAUCAUAUGAAUAUGUGAUUCACAUUAAAAGCAUAAAAGGAUGCAUAAAAUUGCUGGAGCGAGCAGCGAGGGAGGGGGAAAUGGAUGUCAUCACACCGAUCUGUGUAGGAACGAGAUGCAUUGGGAAGUUGAGCAGGAGGGUGAGAAGACCCUAAAGUUGCACAAGCCGCAUGUAGGGGUGGUAGUCAGGCGACUUAUGCUCAUGUUCUCGAGCUAAACUAACGCCCACGGACAUCCCCAUUAACGGCAACAAGUAUGGAUGGCUAACCAUGCCCGCCGCCUAUGGACGGUUUAUGUCGGUGUGUAUGCCCAUCAACGCAAGUGGAAGAGCCACCAGUUUUGCUUUAACAUCAUGAAUGGAAGCAGAAAAGAAAGAUACCAAUAAAAAUAGUAUACAUAGUACU
rnacentral:lncRNA from 1 species